UCCGUAGGUGAACCUUGCGG
rnacentral:rRNA from 1 species